rnacentral:rRNA from 1 species
UACGUAGGCAGCGAGCGUUGUUCGGAAUUACUGGGCGUAAAGAGUGUGUAGGCGGUGCUCUAAGUUCGGUGUGAAAUCUCCUGGCUCAACUGGGAGGGUGCGCCGGAAACUGGAGUGCUUGAGCGUGGGAGAGGAAAGCGGAAUUCCUGGUGUAGCGGUGAAAUGCGUAGAUAUCGGGAGGAACACCUGUGGCGAAAGCGGCGCACUGGACCACAACUGACGCUGGAGGCGACGAAAGCUAGGGGAGCAAACAGG